rnacentral:rRNA from 1 species
ACGAACGCUGGCGGCAGGCCUAACCCAUGCAAGUCGAGCGAGACCUUCGGGUCUAGCGGCGGACGGGUGAGUAACGCGUGGGAACGUGCCCUUUUCUACGGAAUAGCCUCGGGAAACUGAGCGUAAUACCGUAUACGCCCUUUGGGGGAAAGAUUUAUCGGAGAAGGAUCGGCCCGCGUUGGAUUAGGUAGUUGGUGGGGUAAUGGCCUACCAAGCCUACGAUCCAUAGCUGGUUUGAGAGGAUGAUCAGCCACACUGGGACUGAGACACGGCCCAGACUCGUACGGGAGGCAGCAGUGGGGAAUCUUAGACAAUGGGGGCAACCCUGAUCUAGCCAUGCCGCGUGAGUGAUGAAGGCCUUAGGGUUGUAAAGCUCUUUCAGCUGGGAAGAUAAUGACGGUACCAGCAGAAGAAGCCCCGGCUAACUCCGUG